rnacentral:RNase_P_RNA from 1 species
AUAGUGCCACAGAAAAUAAACCGCCAUAACAUGGCAAGGGUGAAAAGGUGUGGUAAGAGCGCACCGGUUCUAUUGGUAACAAUGAACGCUGGAAAACCCCACUGGGAGCAAGACUAAGUAGAGAUGACAUUGUUGAAAAAACUAAAAGCCUUCCUUGGCUAGUCAUCAGGGUUAGUUGCUUGAGCUUAAGAGUGAUCUUAAGCCUAGACAAAUGGUAAGUUUAAAUGACAGAACCCGGCUUAUAGUUUAUCUGGCACU